CACCGUACAAACUUCAACAACAACCAACGCGACAUAAUAGAAGAAAUUUCAACGCGAUAACAGAAACAACGUCAACAGCAGCAACAACCGACAACGACAACAGUAACCCGUAUCAGCAACAUCAAUAACAUUCACAAUUUCAACGCAACAACAGUAAAACAAUUUUGAAAUUCAAAUCUCAACUAAUUUUUCCUUUUUUACCCUUCUGAUUUCCCCCCAAAACAACACCAAAUUCUUAUAUAAAUAUCCACCUAUGUAGAGAGAAAAAGGAGGAGGAUUCUUUGGAGAAAAAUUGAGAAAUCGGGAGGAGCAUUCUUUCAAUCCUACGUAACCGAAGAAUUCGAGAAGAAAGCACUUAAAAGAUUAAUUCCGACGAAAGAAAAAGGAAAAGUAAAAUUUCAACGAUUCGGGAUUGAAAUUUCGGUGGAAUUCGUUCACUUACAGCUCGUUGUCCGGUUCGUUGCUCCGAAAAAGGUGAAAGCUUUUUUCCUAAUCUCAUUCGUAUGACUGAAAAAUUAUGUUAUGAAAUUGUCUGUAUUUAUCACCGUUUUGUCGAUGAAUUAAUUGUCCGUAUGAGAGGAGCAUCCGGAGACUUUAUUAGGAUGAAUUUCGGGAUGAUAUAGUUCCUUUUCUGCCUUAGAGAUGUAGUAGUUCUUUUCUUGGUGUGAAGUAUGUUCAAUAGUUGAUUCUCAAAGAAUUUAAACUUGUGUUAAGAUUUUCUCAAUUUUAUUGUCAUCACUCUAUUAAAUUGAAUAUUUUUGUUUUAAAGUUUGCAAAAGAAAAAAAAAAAAGAAAAGUAAGGUUAUUCAUCAUAAAUUGUUCCGGCGUUAGCUAUAGAUUAGGUUAGCCUAAUUUUAUUUAUUUACUUAUUUAUUUAUUUUUUCGAAGUCGUUUGAUUUCCGAACUAGUAAGAAAGGAAUGUUUCACACACCAAUCUUUGUUUUCCUUACCGUAGCAUUAACAGUGAAAGAAUAUGUUUACUUUGGUGAAUUUCUCUUUGCAGUUCAGUUCAUUUUUCCCAAAAUGUUGAAAAAAAAAAUUAGAAUGAAUUGAAAACUAAGGUUGAGCAGUAGACUAUACUUGAAAGGGAAAUAUUUGAUUCUUUAAGAAAAUUUCCUCUGAGCAUAUUUGCAAUUGCAGAAGAGGUUCUUGAAGGCUUUUAUAUUUGGGAGUUGUGACUCAUCAAAAAGGCAACUUUUUAAUUUUAUGCUAUGGAGAGGCGUGGAUACAUAUGUCUCACAAUAUGGUUGAAGUUAUUUAGUUUUUGACUAUAUUGCUCAUUAGAUGUUAAAAAAAAAAAAGAAACUAUAAUAUGCUUACGUGCUAGUUUGAAUAUUCAUUCCAUAAUCUUUUGAUUUUUUUAUUUAUUUUUUGCAUGAACUCGUUGAGUCCUUUUGGACUUCUUCCUUACAUCCUCAUUUGGUCCAACCCAUCGAGUCAAAACCUCAAGUCCAAGUCCCAAGAGGACUGUUUUUGCAUUAGUAUACAACGAUAUACGCAUCAGGGAGUUGGUAUAUGCUGAUAUGCAGUAAAUAUACAUUGGAAGCAGCAGCUGCACAUCAUCACACGAUUUUGUGAUGAAAAAUGGAGGGAAAAUAAGCAGUAUUUGACACUGAUAUACACUGCAUAUACAGUGAUAUACACAAAAACGUCGAGACUUAAGCUGCUGAUAUACAACUGGUAUACACUUUAAAAAAUGGACCCAAGUCCAUAAGAAUAAGGUCCAAAAGCUGGACAGCUUGCUAAGGGGACAAUAAAGGCCCAAAUCCUAAACUUUUGUUCCUUUUUUCCUUGUAUGUUAUUGUUGUUUAUAUGUACUAACUCUAAUUUUAUUUACUUAAACUAAGUAAUUCCUUAAAUUGUCGUCAUUAUAUUGUAUCUUGAUUUUGUUACUUAACCUAUAAUUUUGUCACAGAAUUUUACAUUAUCUAAAACGAAUUAAAUUGAUUCCUUCAAUUUUCUCUUUAAAACAAGUCAUUAAAGAUCAAGUAUUUUGUUCCGAAAUGACAUUCAUUAUAUUCAUAUAACUAAAUAGUUUAUAUGAAUUAAAAUAACUUCCUUUUAAACUUAAGAAACUAAAUUUUCUUAUAAAUUUCAACUUUUCAUAAUUAAUAAAGGUUUUUAAUUCAACACUCUCUUAACAUUUUUCCGAAGGUAUUAUCUAUAAUAUGAUCAACUUUUUCUAUAAAUAUUAAUAAUAAGAAAAUAAUUUCAUAAUUUUCUUCUUUUACGAAAUUAAAAUCCAUUUUCCUUUUAAGUCCAAAAAUUGCAAUUUAGUUUAAUUUAGGUGGAAUAUUUCUUGUCUAAAUGAAUAAAUGUUAUUUUAAAUAUGUUUAAAUAAAUAAUUUUAAUAUUUUCUAUAAAAUCAAGUCUUUAUGAAAAUUAGUCACUUUUAAUUAGUUAGAUUAGUUCUUUUUGGUAAACUGUUUUAAACAGACGCAUCUAAGUGCCUUAAAAACUUUCUUAGGGCGUUAAUUGAACUCUUACCUUCUUAGGGCGUUAAUUGAACUCUUACCCAGUUUCUUUAGUUUUAAAGGUUUAUUUCUGUUUUUGAACCUUUAAAACUCUUUUAAAUUUUUUCUUGAUUUUUUUCUAUAAAAAUCAAGUGGCGACUUUGUGAAUUUUCUUAAGAUUAUUUCGGAAUUUUCUUGAAUUUUUUAAAUAGAAGGUCAAAAUUAUUUUCUCGCCAAAAGAAAUUCGAAAAGGAUAAAAUAAAAUUAAGGACCCCUAAAAUAUGGAAAGAACCCUGAUAAAAUAAAUAUAAGAAAAGAAACUAAGAAUCCUAAACUACUUAAAAUAUAUGAAUUCUAAAAUAUAUAUAUGGAUCCUAAAAUAUAUGGAAAGAAAUUAACAAUUCUAAAAUAUAUGUAAAGAAUUACAUUUUACUUUAGUUAAAUAUGUGGGCUUGACAUAUUCUCUACAUUCCAACUCCUUAAUUCAAAUUCUCUUUUACCUUUUAAUGUUUUUUUUUUUUUCAAAUAUGAACUUUUUUCUAUGGGGGAUUUUAAGCUUAUUGAUGCCUUUUUUUUUGUUGUUUAAAUUUACCUUCAAAAUAAGUCUAUAUUCUUUUGUUGUUGGUUUAAAUUAGACUUAUUAAAAUUGAAUAUUCUUUAACUUUUAAGAUGGUCUUUUUUCAUAAUCUUAAAUUAUUAUGUCCGUAAACAAAUCACUAUUGAUUGAUUCUUUAAUAUGUUUGUGCAG
rnacentral:lncRNA from 1 species